rnacentral:rRNA from 1 species
UGGGGAAUAUUGCGCAAUGGGGGAAACCCUGACGCAGCGACGCCGCGUGGGUGAUGAAGGCCUUCGGGUCGUAAAGCCCUGUCGGGAGGGAAGAAACACUCCGGACCUAAUACGUCCGGGAAUUGACGGUACCUCCUAAGGAAGCACCGGCUAACUCCGUGCCAGCAGCCGCGGUAAUACGGAGGGUGCUAGCGUUGUUCGGAAUCACUGGGCGUAAAGGGCUCGUAGGCGGCCAACUAAGUCAGACGUGAAAUCCCUCGGCUUAACCGGGGAACUGCGUCUGAUACUGGAUGGCUUGAGGUUGGGAGAGGGAUGCGGAAUUCCAGGUGUAGCGGUGAAAUGCGUAGAUAUCUGGAGGAACGCCGGUGGCGAAGGCGGCCACCUGGUUGGAUACUGACGCUGAGACGCGAAAGCGUGGGGAGCAAACAGGAUUAGAUACCCACGUAGUCCCUGAGCGGGCUGGCAAGGCGCAU